AGCUAAAUAGCAUAAUGGUGAAUGUAAAAGAUUUUUAGAAUCUUAAAAUACUCGGUUCAAAUCCAGUUUUAGCCU
rnacentral:tRNA from 1 species